GAGGGUAUAGCUCAGUGGUAGAGCACAUGCUUAGAAUGCAUGAAGUCCUGGGUUCAAUCCCCAGUACCUCCA
rfam:Camelus ferus unplaced genomic scaffold scaffold743, whole genome shotgun sequence.